rnacentral:rRNA from 1 species
UUGGAGGGCAAGUCUGGUGCCAGCAGCCGCGGUAAUUCCAGCUCCAAUAGUGUAUAUUAAAGUUGUUGCAGUUAAAAAGCUCGUAGUUGAAUUUCGGGAUCAUCAGGUUGGUCGUGCCACUGGCAUGUACUUGCCUCGGUGGUCCCUCCCUCUUGAAGAACCGUAAUGCCAUUAAUUUGGUGUUGCGGGGAAUCAGGACUGUUACUUUGAAAAAAUUAGAGUGUUUAAAGCAGGCAAACGCUUGAAUACAUUAGCAUGGAAUAAUGAAAUAGGACGUUUGAUCUUAUUUUGUUGGUUUCUAGGAUCGACGUAAUGAUUAAUAGGGAUAGUUGGGGGCAUUAGUAUUCAAUUGUCAGAGGUGAAAUUCUUGGAUUUAUUGAAGACUGACUACUGCGAAAGCAUUUGCCAAGGAUGUUUUCAUUAAUCAAGAACGAAAGUUAGGGGAUCGAAGACGAUCAGAUACCGUCGUAGUCUUAACCAUAAACUAUGGCGACUAGGGAUCGGAUGAUGUUAAUUUUUUAAUGACUCAUUCGGCGCCUUACGGGAAAC